rnacentral:rRNA from 1 species
AUCGAACGCUGGCGGCAUGCUUAACACAUGCAAGUCGCGCGGGCAGCUUCGGCUGCCAUCGGCGGACGGGUGCGGAACGCGUAGGAACGUGUCCGGAGGUGGGGGACAACCCUGGGAAACCGGGGCUAAUACCGCAUAUUGCCCCCGGGCCAAAGCCGCAAGGCGCCGCCGGGGCGGCCUGCGUCCGAUUAGGUAGUUGGCGGGGUAACGGCCCACCAAGCCCGGGAUCGGUAGCCGGUCUGAGAGGCAUAUCGGGCACACUGGGACUGAGGCACGGCCCAGACUCCUACGGGAGGGAGGAGAGGGGAAUAUUGGGCAAUGGGCGCAAGCCUGACACAGCAAUGCCGGGUGGGUGAAGAAGGUCGUCGGAUUGUGAAGCCCUUUCGGCGGGGACGAUGGUGACGGUACCAGCAGAAGAAGCCCCGGCCAACUUCGUG